GGGCUUAGCUCAGCUGGGAGAGCGCCUGCUUUGCACGCAGGAGGUCAGCGGUUCGAAUCCUCUAUGGCUCACCA
rnacentral:tRNA from 1 species